AAAGGUAUUCUUAAGAUUGGAGCAGAGUCGCAGUAGCAGUAUGGUGGUCUUCACUCAGAGGCAAGUUCAACAAAUGAUACAGAGUGCAGACAGCAAUAACCCCUACACCCCAGGCAAUGGCAGAUUUGCAGGCAUUGUGUUCUGCUUUGUUGGAUUCUGUUAAUGACAAAAGCCUGGCUUUAUCACAUCAACGCAAAA